rnacentral:rRNA from 3 species
UGGUGGGUAGUUUGACUGGGGCGGUCUCCUCCUAAAGAGUAACGGAGGAGCACGAAGGUUGGCUAAUCCUGGUCGGACAUCAGGAGGUUAGUGCAAUGGCAUAAGCCAGCUUGACUGCGAGCGUGACGGCGCGAGCAGGUGCGAAAGCAGGUCAUAGUGAUCCGGUGGUUCUGAAUGGAAGGGCCAUCGCUCAACGGAUAAAAGGUACUCCGGGGAUAACAGGCUGAUACCGCCCAAGAGUUCAUAUCGACGGCGGUGUUUGGCACCUCGAUGUCGGCUCAUCACAUCCUGGGGCUGAAGUAGGUCCCAAGGGUAUGGCUGUUCGCCAUUUAAAGUGGUACGCGAGCUGGGUUUAGAACGUCGUGAGACAGUUCGGUCCCUAUCUGCCGUGGGCGCUGGAGAACUGAGGGGGGCUGCUCCUAGUACGAGAGGACCGGAGUGGACGCAUCACUGGUGUUCGGGUUGUCAUGCCAAUGGCACUGCCCGGUAGCUAAAUGCGGAAGAGAUAAGUGCUGAAAGCAUCUAAGCACGAAACUUGCCCCGGGAUGAGUUCUCCCUGAGACUUAGAGUCUCCUGAAGGAACGUUGAAGACGACGACGUUGAUAGGCCGGGUGUGUAAGCGCAGCGAUGCGUUGAGCUAACCGGUACUAAUGAACCGUGAGGCUUAACCUUACAACGCCGAA